rnacentral:rRNA from 1 species
CCUACGGGUGGCUGCAGUAAGGAAUAUUGGUCAAUGGACGAAAGUCUGAACCAGCCAUGCCGCGUGGAGGAUGAAGGUCCUCUGGAUUGUAAACUUCUUUUAUAUGGGACGAAAAAAGGCCUUUCCAGGUCGUCUGACGGUACCAUAUGAAUACGCACCGGCUAACUCCGUGCCAGCAGCCGCGGUAAUACGGAGGGUGCCGGAGUUAUCCGGUUUCACGGGGUUGAAGGUGUGUUGGUAAGUCAGGGUAGAAAUCCCCGAGCUUAACUUGGGAACUGCCAUUGAUACUAUCAGUCUUGAAUACCGUGGAGGUCAGCGGAAUAUGUCAUGUAGCGGUGAAAUGCUUAGAUAUGACAUAGAACACCAAUUGCGAAGGCAGCUGGCUACACGAGUAUUGACACUGAGGCACGAAAGCGUGGGGAUCAAACAGGAUUAGAUACCCGUGUAGUC